rnacentral:ncRNA from 2 species
AGUGAGGGUAGAGGUGCAAUUACCAUUAGUAUGUUAGUCGAGGAAAAUGAGAACCAUUGAAGCUAACAAAAAGGGGUACUUGCCGAAGCUUAUAAGUGACUCAUUUCCUUAUAGAGCUGGGACUGUUCUGAAUAAGACCAGUACUGUCAUAUAGCUGGAAGCUAUAUGGAGGGCUAUCUCACAC